AAGGGUCUCGCGAUCCCCGCGGUCCAGGGCGUGGACAAGCGCCGAGGCGCCCGUGUGGUCUCGAACUGAGGGGUCUGCGCCGUGGGCAAGGAGCAGCGACGCCACUGCGGCUCCUCCACCCCCAGCGCAAGCGUGCAUGAGCGCAGUACGCCCUAGGCGGUCUGCGAUGUUGGGGUCUGCACCUUGCUCCAGAAGGAAUGAACUUGUGUCCAGCUGGAGGGCAUCAGAGGGAAAUGCGGGAUGAGGAAAAUAUCCUUUGGAUUCGGAAAACUCACCUGAGACCAUUCAGAAGCUGGAGGACACUAGCCACAAGGAGUUCCCUCAACAGUCCGUCGGUGAGAUCUGAGGUCAGGCUUCUCCAUCCGAGAUGAAAUCGUAAAUAACGGACUCUUGGUUGAUUUUGCAACCCCAUCUCUCUCAGCUCCCGGC